AGGCUGCAUCAAGGCUCCAAUCACACUGCUAAACAACAUUCAAAAGCCCUCAAUCCUAACACUUUGAACAUGUCAGACAACCAACCAGCACGCAUCAGACAGGGAAGGGAGACCAAGCCUGCGUCGGCUAGAGAGGGAAUGGGUGGCGCUAAGGGAAGAAAGGGUUCUUCAAAGAAGGAGGUGAAGGAGGUGAAGGAGAAGAAGAAGGUUUUGACUGGUUCUGCUUCUCGUCCCCUUGGGGUCCAUUGCUCGGACGUCCAGGCUCAGUCUUCAGGCGUGAUCAACGCUGAUGGUUCUGAGACUGAG